rnacentral:sRNA from 1 species
GAACUGUAUCGGCAGUCAGGACCCCUACUGCGGGUGGGCCCCCGACGGCUCCUGCAUCUUCCUCAGCCCGGGCACCAGAGCCGCCUUUGAGCAGGACGUGUCCGGGGCCAGCACCUCAGGCUUAGGGGACUGCACAGGUGAGUCGGGGGGAUGGCAGGCUAAGACCCCCAUCCCCCACUACCAUGGGGGAGGGGAGGGAGGAGGCUGGAGGACCCUUGAAUCCUCCGGGAGGUGGGUGGGGAAACUGGACUCCAUCAGAGAACUUUAGAAAGGCAUGGGGUGGGCCGGGCGCGGUGGCUCACGCCUGUAAUCCCAGCACUUUGGGAGGCCGAGGUGGGCGGAUCACGAGGUCAGGAGAUCUAGACCAUCCUGGCUAACACGGUGAAACCCUGUCUCUACUAAAAAUACAAAAAAUUAGCCAGGCGUGGUGGCGGGCGCCUGUAGUCCCAGCUACUUGGGAGGCUGAGGCAGGAGAAUGGCGUGAACCCGGGAGGUGGAGCUUGCAGUGAGCCAAGAUCACUCCACUUCACUCUAGCCUGGGAGACAGAGCAAGACUCCCUCUC